rnacentral:rRNA from 1 species
AAGUGGCCAGCAAGUUUACUUUGAAAAAAUUGGAGUGCUCAAAGCAGGCGCUACAGCCUGAACAUUAGUGCAUGGAAUAAUGGAAUAGGAUCUCGAUUCUAUUUCGUUGGCUUUCGGAGUCGAGGUAAUGAUUAAUAGGGACAGACGGGGGCAUUCGUACUGCGACGUUAGAGGUGAAAUUCUUGGAUCGUCGCAAGACGAACUACUGCGAAAGCAUUUGCCAAGAAUGUUUUCAUUAAUCAAGAACGAAAGUUAGAGGUUCGAA